CACAAUGAGAAAGAUGAGACGGGCUUUAGGA
rnacentral:piRNA from 1 species